UUUUAGAGUUUGGAUCUGGCUCAGGACGAACGCUGGCGGCGUGCCUAAUACAUGCAAGUCGAGCGGACAGAUGGGAGCUUGCUCCCUGAUGUUAGCGGCGGACGGGUGAGUAACACGUGGGUAACCUGCCUGUAAGACUGGGAUAACUCCGGGAAACCGGGGCUAAUACCGGAUGCUUGUUUGAACCGCAUGGUUCAAACAUAAAAGGUGGCUUCGGCUACCACUUACAGAUGGACCCGCGGCGCAUUAGCUAGUUGGUGAGGUAAUGGCUCACCAAGGCAACGAUGCGUAGCCGACCUGAGAGGGUGAUCGGCCACACUGGGACUGAGACACGGCCCAGACUCCUACGGGAGGCAGCAGUAGGGAAUCUUCCGCAAUGGACGAAAGUCUGACGGAGCAACGCCGCGUGAGUGAUGAAGGUUUUCGGAUCGUAAAGCUCUGUUGUUAGGGAAGAACAAGUACCGUUCGAAUAGGGCGGUACCUUGACGGUACCUAACCAGAAAGCCACGGCUAACUACGUGCCAGCAGCCGCGGUAAUACGUAGGUGGCAAGCGUUGUCCGGAAUUAUUGGGCGUAAAGGGCUCGCAGGCGGUUCCUUAAGUCUGAUGUGAAAGCCCCCGGCUCAACCGGGGAGGGUCAUUGGAAACUGGGGAACUUGAGUGCAGAAGAGGAGAGUGGAAUUCCACGUGUAGCGGUGAAAUGCGUAGAGAUGUGGAGGAACACCAGUGGCGAAGGCGACUCUCUGGUCUGUAACUGACGCUGAGGAGCGAAAGCGUGGGGAGCGAACAGGAUUAGAUACCCUGGUAGUCCACGCCGUAAACGAUGAGUGCUAAGUGUUAGGGGGUUUCCGCCCCUUAGUGCUGCAGCUAACGCAUUAAGCACUCCGCCUGGGGAGUACGGUCGCAAGACUGAAACUCAAAGGAAUUGACGGGGGCCCGCACAAGCGGUGGAGCAUGUGGUUUAAUUCGAAGCAACGCGAAGAACCUUACCAGGUCUUGACAUCCUCUGACAAUCCUAGAGAUAGGACGUCCCCUUCGGGGGCAGAGUGACAGGUGGUGCAUGGUUGUCGUCAGCUCGUGUCGUGAGAUGUUGGGUUAAGUCCCGCAACGAGCGCAACCCUUGAUCUUAGUUGCCAGCAUUCAGUUGGGCACUCUAAGGUGACUGCCGGUGACAAACCGGAGGAAGGUGGGGAUGACGUCAAAUCAUCAUGCCCCUUAUGACCUGGGCUACACACGUGCUACAAUGGACAGAACAAAGGGCAGCGAAACCGCGAGGUUAAGCCAAUCCCACAAAUCUGUUCUCAGUUCGGAUCGCAGUCUGCAACUCGACUGCGUGAAGCUGGAAUCGCUAGUAAUCGCGGAUCAGCAUGCCGCGGUGGAAUACGUUCCCGGGGCCUUGUACACACCGCCCCGUCACACCACGAGAGUUUGUAACACCCGAAAGUCGGUGAGGUAACCUUUAUGGAGCCAGCCGCCGAAGGUGGGACAGAUGAUUGGGGGUGAAGUCGUAACAGGGGUAACCCGUAAAAA
rnacentral:rRNA from 1 species